rnacentral:misc_RNA from 1 species
GAUGAAGAACGUAGCGAAAUGUGAUACGUAAUGUGAAUUGCAGAAUUCAGUGAAUCAUCGAAUCUUUGAACGCAUAUUGCGCUCUCUGGUAUUCCGGAGAGCAUGCUUGUUUGAGUAUCAGUAAACACCUCAACUUCCAUAUCUUUUUUGAAAUGGGAGUUGGACUUGAGUGAUCCCAACGCUUUUCCUCACCGAAAAGUGGCGGGUUACUUGAAAUGCAGGUGCAGCUGGACUUUUCUCUGAGCUAUAAGCAUAUCUAUUUAGUCUGCCUAAAAAACAGAUUAUUACCUUUGCUGCAGCUAACAUAAAGGAGAUUAGUUCUUGUGCUGACUGAUGCAGGAUUCACAAAGACAGGCUUCGGCCGACUUUGUAAACUCGAUCUCAAAUCAAGAAAGACUACCCGCUGAACUUAAGCAUAUCAAUAAGCGGAGGA